UUGAUCAGGGAUGGGUCUAAACCAAUUUCGAUUAACUUGUAAAGUACUCCUGUGUGACAUAUCGAGUCAAAUGCUUUUUGUAUGUCUAAGGAAACCGCUACAGUAGACACUUGGUUCCUUAGAUUUGAUGUUAUAUCACUGUGGAGCUUCAGAAGCGCGUGUUGUGUGGAAUGGCCAGACUUGAACCCAAAUUGGUAUGCUGAGAUUGGACUAACUGGUAAUUCGUUUUCCAUUUUUUCUUUUAGGACCGACUCAAAUAACUUCCCGAUGUUGGACAAUAGUGAUAUUGGACGAAAAUUGCUCAAAGUGUUGUCAUUAAUUAUUUUCUUCUUUAUGGGAAUAAUUUUCGCCAAUUUCCAGAGUGAUGGGAAAUAUCCAUUGUUAAUGCAGUUGUUGAAGAGACAUGAUUGGUAAAGUGAACAGAGUCUGGAUUGUUUAAUGAAUUGAAGUUAUCAUCAAAUAAGUAGAUGUGCGGUGGAACGGCGUUGAUGCAUGCUGUGACUCUAGAGCUAAGAUCAUCUACAGGAUUUGUGGGCACAUUUUCUUGAAAAUUUUCAGAAUAAAAUUGUUUAAAAUUAUUAGCAA
rnacentral:sRNA from 1 species